rnacentral:rRNA from 1 species
UACGUAGGGGGCAAGCGUUGUCCGGAAUCAUUGGGCGUAAAGCGCGUGUAGGCGGCCCGGUAAGUCCGCUGUGAAAGUCGGGGGCUCAACCCUCGAAUGCCGGUGGAUACUGUCGGGCUAGAGUGCGGGAGAGGCGAGUGGAAUUCCUGGUGUAGCGGUGAAAUGCGCAGAUAUCAGGAAGAACACCCGUGGCGAAGGCGGCUCUCUGGUACGUGACUGACGCUGAGACGCGAAAGCGUGGGGAGCAAACAGG